GCUCGACAGAGACGAGUGUGCGAGGCCCAGAGUUCGGGUGGUCUGAAUCGGUGAGCCCUGCUCCAGCUGCUGCUGGUGUGGCUGAAGAGGAUGUGGCCCAGGAUCUUCCCCGUGCCCCAACUCCUCAUGCCGCAGCUGCGAGAUGGGGGCAACCGGCAGGCCGAGGCGCUGGAGUUACUAGCCGCAAACACCAGGCGGCAGGGCCAGGCAUCAUUGGAAAGCUGCGCCAGGUUCAGCUUCUCGGUGACGUGGUCCACGAAUUGCAAGGCGUUGGUACCCUCGCCCGGG